rnacentral:rRNA from 1 species
AUAACGGUCCUAAGGUAGCGAAAUUCCUUGUCGGGUAAGUUCCGACCCGCACGAAUGGUGUAACGAUCUGGACACUGUCUCAACUACCCACCCGGCGAAAUUGUAGUACCGGUGAAGAUGCCGGUUACCCGCGGCAAGACGGAAAGACCCCAUGGAGCUUUACUGUAACCUGAUAUUGGGUUUCGGUAUUUUAUGUACAGGAUAGGUGGGAGACUAUGAAACUAAGGCGCCAGCCUUAGCGGAGUCGCCCUUGGGAUACCACUCUUAAAGUACUGAAAUUCUAACCUGCGGCCGUGAAUCCGGUCGGGGGACAUUGUCAGGCGGGCAGUUUGACUGGGGCGGUCGCCUCCAAAAGAGUAACGGAGGCGCUCAAAGGUUCGCUCAGCAUGGUCGGAAACCAUGCCUUAGAGUGUAAACGCAAAAGCGAGCCUAACUGCGAGGCUGACGGGCCGAGCAGUAACGAAAGUUGGAGUUAGUGAUCCGGCGGUAUGUGAAUGGAAAUGCCGUCGCUCAACGGAUAAAAGCUACCCUGGGGAUAACAGGCUGAUCUCCCCCAAGAGUCCACAUCGACGGGGAGGUUUGGCACCUCGAUGUCGGCUCAUCGCAUCCUGGGGCUGUAUUCGGUCCCAAGGGUUUGGCUGUUCGCCAAUUAAAGCGGUACGCGAGCUGGGUUCAGAACGUCGUGAGACAGUUCGGUCCCUAUCUGUCGUGGGCGUAGGAUAUUUGAAGAGCGCUGUCCCUAGUACGAGAGGACCGGGAUGGACGCACCGCUGGCGCAUCGGUUGUCAUGCCAAUGGCACGGCCGAGCAACUAUGUGCGGUUUGGAUAAACGCUGAAAGCAUCUAAGCGUGAAGCCAUCUCUAAGAUAAGAUAUCCCAUAGCAUAAGCUAGUAAGACCCCUCAAAGACUAUGAGGUUGAUAGGCUGCGUGUGUAAGUACGGCGACGUAUUUAGCUUGGCAGUACUAAUAGGUCGAGGGCUUGACCUU